CCUACGGGAGUCAGCAGUGGGGACUAUUGCACAAUGUGGGAAACCCUGAUGCAGCGCCGCCGCGUGAGUGAAGAAGUAUUUCGGUACGUACAUCUCUAUCAGCAGGGAAGAAAAUGACGGUACCUGACUAAGAAGCCCCUGCUAACUACGUUCCAGCAGCCGCGGUACUACGUAGGGGGAAAGCGUGAUCCGGAUUUACUGGGUGUACAGGGAGCGUAGACGGCAGCGCAAGUCUGAAGUGACAUCCCAUGGCUUAACCAUGGAACUGCUUUGGACACUGUGCAGCUGGAGUGCAGGAGAGGUAAGCGGAAUUCCUAGUGUAGCGGUGAAAUGCGUAGAUAUUAGGAGGAACACCAGUGGCGAAGGCGGCUUACUGGACUGUAACUGACGUUGAGGCUCGAAAGCGUGGGGAGCAAACAGGAUUAGAUACCCCAGUAGUC
rnacentral:rRNA from 1 species